GAUGAACGCUGGCGGCGUGCCUAAUACAUGCAAGUCGAGCGAACAGAUGAGGAGCUUGCUCCUCUGACGUUAGCGGCGGACGGGUGAGUAACACGUGGAUAACCUACCUAUAAGACUGGGAUAACUUCGGGAAACCGGAGCUAAUACCGGAUAAUAUAUUGAACCGCAUGGUUCAAUAGUGAAAGACGGUUUUGCUGUCACUUAUAGAUGGAUCCGCGCCGCAUUAGCUAGUUGGUAAGGUAACGGCUUACCAAGGCAACGAGGCGUAGCCGACCUGAGAGGGGGAUCGGCCACACUGGAACUGGGACACGGUCCAGACUCCUACGGGAGGCAGCAGUAGGGAAUCUUCCGCAAUGGGCGAAAGCUUGACGGAGCAACGCCGCGUGAGUGAUGAAGGUCUUCGGAUCGUAAAACUCUGUUAUUAGGGAAGAACAAAUGUGUAAGUAACUAUGCACGUCUUGACGGUACCUAAUCAGAAAGCCACGGCUAACUACGUG
rnacentral:rRNA from 1 species